rnacentral:rRNA from 1 species
UACGUAGGGCGCAAGCGUUAUCCGGAAUUAUUGGGCGUAAAGAGCUCGUAGGCGGUUUGUCGCGUCUGCUGUGAAAACUCAGGGCUUAACCCUGAGCCUGCAGUGGGUACGGGCAGACUAGAGUGUGGUAGGGGAGAUCGGAAUUCCUGGUGUAGCGGUGAAAUGCGCAGAUAUCAGGAGGAACACCGGUGGCGAAGGCGGUUCUCUGGGCAUGUCCUGACGCUGAGGAGCGAAAGUGUGGGGAGCGAACAGG